GCGGAAAUAGCUCAGUUGGUAGAGCAUAACCUUGCCAAGGUUAGGGUCGCGAGUUCAAGUCUCGUUUUCCGCU
rnacentral:tRNA from 2 species